rnacentral:rRNA from 1 species
UACGUAGGGGGCUAGCGUUGUCCGGAAUCAUUGGGCGUAAAGCGCGUGUAGGCGGUCCGGUAAGUCCGCUGUGAAAGUCGGGGGCUCAACCCUCGGAUGCCGGUGGAUACUGUCGGGCUUGAGUACGGAAGAGGCGAGUGGAAUUCCUGGUGUAGCGGUGAAAUGCGCAGAUAUCAGGAGGAACACCAGUGGCGAAGGCGGUGUUCUGGGCCAGUACUGACGCUGAGGCGCGAAAGCGUGGGGAGCGAACAGG